GACGAACGCUGGCGGCGUGCUUAACACAUGCAAGUCGAACGGAAAGGCCCUGCUUUUGUGGGGUGCUCGAGUGGCGAACGGGUGAGUAACACGUGAGUAACCUGCCCUUGACUUUGGGAUAACUUCAGGAAACUGGGGCUAAUACCGGAUAGGAGCUCCUGCUGCAUGGUGGGGGUUGGAAAGUUUCGGCGGUUGGGGAUGGACUCGCGGCUUAUCAGCUUGUUGGUGGGGUAGUGGCUUACCAAGGCUUUGACGGGUAGCCGGCCUGAGAGGGUGGCCGGCCACAUUGGGACUGAGAUACGGACCAGACUCCUACGGGAGGCAGCAGUGGGGAAUAUUGCACAAUGGGGGGAAGCCUGAUGCAGCAACGCCGCGUGCGGGAUGACGGCCUUCGGGUUGUAAACCGCUUUCGCCUGUGACGAAGCGUGAGUGACGGUAAUGGGUAAAGAAGCACCGGCUAACUACGUG
rnacentral:rRNA from 1 species